rnacentral:rRNA from 1 species
CCUACGGGAGGCAGCAGUGAGGAAUAUUGGUCAAUGGACGAGAGUCUGAACCAGCCAAGUAGCGUGAAGGAUGACUGCCCUAUGGGUUGUAAACUUCUUUUAUAUGGGAAUAAAACGUUCCACGUGUGGGAUUUUGUAUGUACCAUAUGAAUAAGGGUCGGCUAACUCCGUGCCAGCAGCCGCGGUAAUACGGAGGGUCCGAGCGUUAUCCGGAUUUAUUGGGUUUAAAGGGAGCGUAGGUGGAGUGUUAAGUCAGUUGUGAAAGUUUGCGGCUCAACCGUAAAAUUGCAGUUGAAACUGGCAGUCUUGAGUACAGUAGAGGUGGGCGGAAUUCGUGGUGUAGCGGUGAAAUGCUUAGAUAUCACGAAGAACUCCGAUUGCGAAGGCAGUUCACUGGACUGCAACUGACACUGAGGCUCGAAAGUGUGGGUAUCAAACAGGAUUAGAUACCCCAGUAGUC